CACUUUGCGUCGUCGCAAGGCACAUUACUUACAGUUCUAUUAAUUUCGCUCUAAAAUAUAUUCGUGCUGUUAGCACAAAAUAAAGCAUGAAGAUCAAAGAAUUGGUAAAGUAUAAAUCACAAUAUACAUUGUUACGUACACCAGAUCUUUUAUAGAUGACAUCAGAGAUGUGACGUCACGAAGCGGUGAUGAGAAAAAAGAAGAACCCACUUCAACGUGGUAUAUGUGACGUCACAGAGAAUCAAGAGGACAGAGCGAAAUUCUGGAAUGAAGAAAAGCCAGCGUAUAUGCUGCAGAAGAAAAAUUUUUUAAUGAUUCUGCAUUGUCCUAAUCACUUGAUAAGAUCGGCAUGUUGGUACACAAAUACUUUAGUAAUAUCCGCGCGCAUUAUAAUAUACACGCAGUUAAAAAAAAUUGAUAUCCCAUAUUUUCUUUAAAAGAUUGUCCCAGUGAACCAGUUGCUAUUAUUUUUACUAAAGCCUAAUUGUGACGCUGGCCACGUUACAAUUACGCUACGUCGAUGGGUCUUUCGGCCCUGCGUUCGGUGCGGUUAUGUCACGGUUUUAGACUGAGUUAUGUACCGUUGGGUUGUUGCGUAGACGUCGCCGCCAGUGAUGCUACGCUAGUUUAGGUCACUACCAGUACAGUGAUGCUACGCUCGGUUAUUUAGGUCACUAUUCGUGCGGUUCGUAACAACCUGACGCAGUUUCAUGACGGUCGAAGCGGUGCUUAACAUCCGAACGAUAUUGUAUUGCGUGAAGAUACAACGAGAGUAUCGUGGUACCAGCAUGGCGACUUAUCUUUUGAUUUGGGCAUGCGGAGCCGUUAUUAGCUUCGACUCCUUGUGGUCGGAUAUUUAGUGAUUUGUACACUGCAGAUGAUUAUCCUUCAGGAUUUGAACCAUAUUUUCUUUGAAGAUGUUUCAAUGAUUAUGUCCGCGUUAAUUAACUUUUUGUUAUAGUCCCAUUUUAAAUAUGUCUGAGCUGUUGUGUGUAUUGCUGCAUGCUUUUUGCACUUUUUGUAUUUGCACCUCGUUGUAUAAUUUUUGUCUUUUUGUCGUUAUUGUCGUGCACAUGUGUAUGUGCAUUCG